rnacentral:rRNA from 1 species
GUCGGCAGUACAUGGAAAUAUAUUACACCACACAUUAUUCUGGAAUACAAAGUACUUGACAGAAUACAGUACUAAUGUUUUGCGAGAGAAAAUUAAUCUCAAUCGCAAUGAGAUUAUAUUGCGAGAAAAAUAUAUAUUUCUCAAUCGCAAAUCAACAUUGUUGUGCGAGAAAACUUAAUCUCAAUCGUAAAACAAUGUCAUUGUAUCGGUAAAGAAUAUUUUAUAGAUCAAGCAAAUAACAGCCACAUAUUUCUGGAAUUUUUAAAACUCUACAGAAAAUGAACUAAAUGCAGAUCUAUACAUGGCCUUACAAGUGUUAAUCAAUAACACUAGUAGUUGGACCAAGUUUGUUCAAAAAAAAAAACAAGCUGCAAUAAUCUGAAGCAGAAUCACCAGAGAAAUCAGCUUGGCCUAUUCGACCAAUACUUCAAACAUCAGGUGUCUGAUGCAAAAUAGGGAAGAGAUAAGGUUUCCCUUUUUCUUCGUUGGUGUGGUCCUGUGGAUACGAAUCGAUUGAUUCUAUCGUUUGCUUCAGUUCAACACAGAGACCACCACCACAGGUGCAUCCGUGCAGGCGUUCUGCAUCAGUUGCCGGGAGCCGCGUCGUGCGCUGCCUCGCCUUCAUCGGCGGCCUUCGUCGUCACCGGGACGUAGAAGAUGCGGAUGCAGCGCACCGAGGAGCCUCUGCGGGCUCUGCCGUGAGCCGCGGCAGGGAGGGCGUCGCCUGCCUAGUGGUUGAGGCCGGGCCUCACCUUGUACGGGCACCGAGCCUCAGAGGGCGUACAUCAGUGCCGGGCAGACCGCUUCAGGUAGCCGGCCUUUUAACGGCGUCGCUGGGCACUGCUUCCGCGCCGGGAGGGAGCCGCUGCUGUCGCGCACCGCCGUGGGAGGCCGGUGAGGGCUGCGCCAUGGCGAGAGCCGCAUCGCGCGCUCCAGAGGGAGGCCACGACCAGGGCUGCUUCCGCCAUGGGCGGACGAGGGGAGCCGCGCCACGCACGAGUCGCCGCGGGUCGGGCAACACGCCACGCCGUGGAUGGCCAUGGUUGUUGGCCGCCGUCAGCCAACAGCCGCGCGCGAGGGGCCUCGCCGGGCGCAACAGUGGCGCUGAGGGCCGCCGGGAGAAGAAGCCUUCGGCGCCCCGCAACCGCCUCCCGUCGCUUUCUUUUCGUUCUGGCCCAACUCGCUCGCCCAGUAGCGCGGCCUGGCGCGGUUCCGGCCACGGCUUGGCGCGGGUGGGCGCGGCCACGGCCGGUCGGGGACCGGCCUAGCGCAGGGCGGGCGCUCGCAAGGGCGGCCACGGCCUGGCGCUGCUAGCCAUGGCGCAGGCGGGCGCGGCCACCGCUUGGCGCAGGGGCCCGACGAUGGGCGGUCGAGCGGAGUGAGGCGGCGACCGCGAGGACCCCGCGCCGGCGACGAGGUCGCGAACGAAGAGGACGAGGCCUAGGCUGCGUCUUCACCACUGAGGGGAGAUUCUUUGGCGUCCAUUCGCUCGAUGGAGAGCAACGUGGCUGAUAACGUGUUGAAUUGUAAAUGAGAGAACGAGAGACAAUCGAAUAAAUGAUUGAACUGUCAAUUCCAUUGAAUGAUUCUCGGUAUAUAUAAAGGGGAACAGGCACGAUCCAGAGAUGCGACUGUUCGUAGAGGUGCAAGGGGAGAGGCGCGACGGUUGACAAUGCAACCGACGUACAGAUUACAAUGGGAGAAUUAUCUCUUUAAUUAACGUAUUAAUUUAAUCCUAAUAGUAUUAACUAUUUCUUUGCAUCAUUCAUUUGUAAUGCAAGCAGUUGUAGCUCUAAAUGGUGCAUGAAAAAUA